rnacentral:rRNA from 1 species
GGUUAAGCGACUAAGCGUACACGGUGGAUGCCCUGGCAGUCAGAGGCGAUGAAGGACGUGCUAAUCUGCGAUAAGCGUCGGUAAGGUGAUAUGAACCGUUAUAACCGGCGAUUUCCGAAUGGGGAAACCCAGUGUGAUUCGUCACACUAUCAUUAACUGAAUCCAUAGGUUAAUGAGGCGAACCGGGGGAACUGAAACAUCUAAGUACCCCGAGGAAAAGAAAUCAACCGAGAUUCCCCCAGUAGCGGCGAGCGAACGGGGAGGAGCCCAGAGCCUGAAUCAGUGUGUGUGUUAGUGGAAGCGUCUGGAAAGGCGCGCGAUACAGGGUGACAGCCCCGUACACAAAAAUGCACAUAUUGUGAGCUCGAUGAGUAGGGCGGGACACGUGGUAUCCUGUCUGAAUAUGGGGGGACCAUCCUCCAAGGCUAAAUACUCCUGACUGACCGAUAGUGAACCAGUACCGUGAGGGAAAGGCGAAAAGAACCCCGGCGAGGGGAGUGAAAAAGAACCUGAAACCGUGUACGUACAAGCAGUGGGAGCACGCUUAGGCGUGUGACUGCGUACCUUUUGUAUAAUGGGUCAGCGACUUAUAUUCUGUAGCAAGGUUAACCGAAUAGGGGAGCCGAAGGGAAACCGAGUCUUAACUGGGCGUUAAGUUGCAGGGUAUAGACCCGAAACCCGGUGAUCUAGCCAUGGGCAGGUUGAAGGUUGGGUAACACUAACUGGAGGACCGAACCGACUAAUGUUGAAAAAUUAGCGGAUGACUUGUGGCUGGGGGUGAAAGGCCAAUCAAACCGGGAGAUAGCUGGUUCUCCCCGAAAGCUAUUUAGGUAGCGCCUCGUGAAUUCAUCUCCGGGGGUAGAGCACUGUUUCGGCAAGGGGGUCAUCCCGACUUACCAACCCGAUGCAAACUGCGAAUACCGGAGAAUGUUAUCACGGGAGACACACGGCGGGUGCUAACGUCCGUCGUGAAGAGGGAAACAACCCAGACCGCCAGCUAAGGUCCCAAAGUCAUGGUUAAGUGGGAAACGAUGUGGGAAGGCCCAGACAGCCAGGAUGUUGGCUUAGAAGCAGCCAUCAUUUAAAGAAAGCGUAAUAGCUCACUGGUCGAGUCGGCCUGCGCGGAAGAUGUAACGGGGCUAAACCAUGCACCGAAGCUGCGGCAGCGACGCUGAUGCGUUGUUGGGUAGGGGAGCGUUCUGUAAGCCUGUGAAGGUGUGCUGUGAGGCAUGCUGGAGGUAUCAGAAGUGCGAAUGCUGACAUAAGUAACGAUAAAGCGGGUGAAAAGCCCGCUCGCCGGAAGACCAAGGGUUCCUGUCCAACGUUAAUCGGGGCAGGGUGAGUCGACCCCUAAGGCGAGGCCGAAAGGCGUAGUCGAUGGGAAACAGGUUAAUAUUCCUGUACUUGGUGUUACUGCGAAGGGGGGACGGAGAAGGCUAUGUUGGCCGGGCGACGGUUGUCCCGGUUUAAGCGUGUAGGCUGGUUUUCCAGGCAAAUCCGGAAAAUCAAGGCUGAGGCGUGAUGACGAGGCACUACGGUGCUGAAGCAACAAAUGCCCUGCUUCCAGGAAAAGCCUCUAAGCAUCAGGUAACAUCAAAUCGUACCCCAAACCGACACAGGUGGUCAGGUAGAGAAUACCAAGGCGCUUGAGAGAACUCGGGUGAAGGAACUAGGCAAAAUGGUGCCGUAACUUCGGGAGAAGGCACGCUGAUAUGUAGGUGAAGUCCCUCGCGGAUGGAGCUGAAAUCAGUCGAAGAUACCAGCUGGCUGCAACUGUUUAUUAAAAACACAGCACUGUGCAAACACGAAAGUGGACGUAUACGGUGUGACGCCUGCCCGGUGCCGGAAGGUUAAUUGAUGGGGUCAGCGCAAGCGAAGCUCUUGAUCGAAGCCCCGGUAAACGGCGGCCGUAACUAUAACGGUCCUAAGGUAGCGAAAUUCCUUGUCGGGUAAGUUCCGACCUGCACGAAUGGCGUAAUGAUGGCCAGGCUGUCUCCACCCGAGACUCAGUGAAAUUGAACUCGCUGUGAAGAUGCAGUGUACCCGCGGCAAGACGGAAAGACCCCGUGAACCUUUACUAUAGCUUGACACUGAACAUUGAGCCUUGAUGUGUAGGAUAGGUGGGAGGCUUUGAAGUGUGGACGCCAGUCUGCAUGGAGCCGACCUUGAAAUACCACCCUUUAAUGUUUGAUGUUCUAACGUUGACCCGUGAUCCGGGUUGCGGACAGUGUCUGGUGGGUAGUUUGACUGGGGCGGUCUCCUCCUAAAGAGUAACGGAGGAGCACGAAGGUUGGCUAAUCCUGGUCGGACAUCAGGAGGUUAGUGCAAUGGCAUAAGCCAGCUUGACUGCGAGCGUGACGGCGCGAGCAGGUGCGAAAGCAGGUCAUAGUGAUCCGGUGGUUCUGAAUGGAAGGGCCAUCGCUCAACGGAUAAAAGGUACUCCGGGGAUAACAGGCUGAUACCGCCCAAGAGUUCAUAUCGACGGCGGUGUUUGGCACCUCGAUGUCGGCUCAUCACAUCCUGGGGCUGAAGUAGGUCCCAAGGGUAUGGCUGUUCGCCAUUUAAAGUGGUACGCGAGCUGGGUUUAGAACGUCGUGAGACAGUUCGGUCCCUAUCUGCCGUGGGCGCUGGAGAACUGAGGGGGGCUGCUCCUAGUACGAGAGGACCGGAGUGGACGCAUCACUGGUGUUCGGGUUGUCAUGCCAAUGGCACUGCCCGGUAGCUAAAUGCGGAAGAGAUAAGUGCUGAAAGCAUCUAAGCACGAAACUUGCCCCGAGAUGAGUUCUCCCUGACCCUUUAAGGGUCCUGAAGGAACGUUGAAGACGACGACGUUGAUAGGCCGGGUGUGUAAGCGCAGCGAUGCGUUGAGCUAACCGGUACUAAUGAACCGUGAGGCUUAACCUU